CUACGGGGUGCUGCAGUGGGGAAUAUUGCACAAUGGGGGAAACCCUGAUGCAGCCAUGCCGCGUGUGUGAAGAAGGCCUUCGGGUUGUAAAGCACUUUCAGCGAGGAGGAAAGGAUGUGUGUUAAUACCACAUGUCUGUGACGUUACUCGCAGAAGAAGCACCGGCUAACUCCGUGCCAGCAGCCGCGGUAAUACGGAGGGUGCGGCGUUAAUCGGAAUUACUGGGCGUAAAGCGUGCGCAGGCGGUUUGUUAAGCGAGAUGUGAAAGCCCCGGGCUCAACCUGGGAAUUGCAUUUCGAACUGGCAAGCUAGAGUCUUGUAGAGGGGGGUAGAAUUCCAGGUGUAGCGGUGAAAUGCGUAGAGAUCUGGAGGAAUACCGGUGGCGAAGGCGGCCCCCUGGACGAUGACUGACGCUCAUGCACGAAAGCGUGGGGAGCAAACAGGAUUAGAUACCCCCGUAGUC
rnacentral:rRNA from 1 species